UUGAAUAACUAUGGUGGGUUGUCGCUGGCUUCUUGAAGCAUGUGCACACCUGCUGUCUUUAUCUACCCCAUUGUGCACCACUUGUAGUCUUGGAGGGAACUGUGACUCUUAUGUCCUCCUUCCAGGUCUAUGUCUUUUUCACAGACAUUGUAGUAUGUUUAUAGAAUGUGGUCAAAAGGGGCCUUUGUGCCUAUAGAACUAUAUA
rnacentral:misc_RNA from 1 species